rnacentral:rRNA from 1 species
UACGUAGGGGGCAAGCGUUGUCCGGAAUCAUUGGGCGUAAAGCGCGCGCAGGCGGUCCUUUAAGUCUGAUGUGAAGGCCCACGGCUCAACCGUGGAGGGUCAUUGGAAACUGGGGGACUUGAGUACAGAAGAGAAGAGUGGAAUUCCACGUGUAGCGGUGAAAUGCGUAGAGAUGUGGAGGAACACCAGUGGCGAAGGCGACUCUUUGGUCUGUAACUGACGCUGAGGCGCGAAAGCGUGGGGAGCAAACAGG